rnacentral:rRNA from 1 species
UUUACCCGGCUGAAAAUUAAGCAUAUCAAUAAGCGGAGGACGGGUAGAACACAGGGAUUGCCCUAGUAACGGCGAGUGAAGCGGCAAAAGCUCAAAUUUGAAAUCUGGCUGUAUUUGCAGUCCGAGUUGUAAUUUGUAGAGGAUGCUUCUGGGCAAUUAUCAGUCUAAGUUCCUUGGAACAGGACGUCAGAGAGGGUGAGAAUCCCGUAUUUGAUUGAAUAAUACCCUUUACGUAGCUCCUUCGACGAGUCGAGUUGUUUGGGAAUGCAGCUCUAAAUGGGAGGUAAAUUUCUUCUAAAGCUAAAUAUCUGCCAGAGACCGAUAGCGCACAAGUAGAGUGAUCGAAAGAUGAAAAGCACUUUGGAAAGAGAGUUAAAAAGCACGUGAAAUUGUUGAAAGGGAAGCGUUUGCAAUCAGACUUUGUUGAAGUGUUCGCCUGGGUUUUUACCUGGGUUAUUCUCUUCAAUGAGGCCAGCAUCACUUGGGGUUCUGUGAUAAUUGCUCAGGAAUGUAGCUCCUCGGAGUGUUAUAGCCUGUGUACAUGACAGACACCUCGAGUGAGGUCCGCACUUCGGUUAGGAUGCUGGCGUAAUGGUUGUAAACGGCCCGUCUUGAAACACGGACCAAGGAGUCGAUCACCCAUGCGAGUGUUAGGGUGUCAAACCCUUUACGCGCAGUGAAAGCAAACGCAGGUGGGAAGUUUUAUUACUGCACCAUCGACCGAUCCUGAUGUUUUCGGAAGGAUUUGAGUAAGAGCAUGGUUGAUCGGACCCGAAAGAUGGUGAACUAUACGUGAAUAGGGUGAAGCCAGAGGAAACUCUGGUGGAGGCUCGCAGCGGUUCUGACGUGCAAAUCGAUCGUCAAAUUUGCGUAUAGGGGGCGAAAGACUAAUCGAACCAUCUAGUAGCUGGUUCCUGCCGAAGUUCCCCUCAGGGGAAA